AUCUAUCUGACAAGUCCCAGACAGGACGAAAAGAGCGUCUUGGAU
rfam:Schistosoma mattheei strain Denwood, Zambia genome assembly, scaffold: SMTD_scaffold0009988